rnacentral:lncRNA from 1 species
AAGAUUCUGGAAUUGCACAUUUCAUGAUCAUAAGACUCAUGCGAUUUGAGCUUUCCCACUUCUCCAUCUCCUUCUUGUCAUCAGAAGAAGAUGUAUCCUGAAGAGUAGUAGGUUUCUCAAUCCGAAGUGCAAAGUCUAGAUCCAUGCAACCGAGAACUAUCAUAAUGUUUUCUUUCCAUUCCUUAAAAUUUGUGCCAUUAAGCACAGGGAUGCUGUUAAUGUUCG